GUUCUCUGCGGUGCAGUGUGCGCGCGUCUGGUUGUAAACACCAGAAGGCUGCUGGUUCGAAACCACCCAGGGGCA